UGGGGAAUAUUGCACAAUGGGCGAAAGCCUGAUGCAGCAACGCCGCGUGAGUGAUGAAGGCCUUCGGGUUGUAAAGCUCUGUCUUUUGGGACGAUAAUGACGGUACCAAAGGAGGAAGCCACGGCUAACUACGUGCCAGCAGCCGCGGUAAUACGUAGGUGGCAAGCGUUGUCCGGAAUUACUGGGCGUAAAGAAUGCGUAGGUGGAUAUGCAAGUCAGAUGUGAAAUACCCGGGCUCAACUUGGGUGCUGCAUUUGAAACUAUAUAUCUAGAGUGCAGGAGAGGAAAACGGAAUUCCUAUUGUAGCGGUGAAAUGCGUAGAGAUUAGGAAGAACACCAGUGGCGAAGGCUGCUUUCUGGACUGUAACUGACACUGAGGCAUGAAAGCGUGGGGAGCAAACA
rnacentral:rRNA from 1 species